GCGGAUAUGGCGGAAUUGGCAGACGCGCUGGACUUAGAAUCCAGUGGAAUACCGUGCAGGUUCAAAUCCUGUUAUCCGCACCA
rnacentral:tRNA from 1 species